rnacentral:rRNA from 1 species
AAGACCUUGCGCUUUUGGAGCGGCCGAUGCCUGAUUAGCUUGUUGGUAAGGUAAAAGCUUACCAAGGCUUCGAUCAGUAGCUGGUCUGAGAGGACGACCAGCCACACUGGGACUGAGACACGGCCCAGACUCCUACGGGAGGCAGCAGUGGGGAAUUUUGGACAAUGGGGGCAACCCUGAUCCAGCCAUGCCGCGUGAGUGAAGAAGGCCUUCGGGUUGUAAAGCUCUUUCAGCCGGAACGAAACGGUUACGGUUAAUACCCGUGACUACUGACGGUACCGGAAGAAGAAGCACCGGCUAACUACGUGCCAGCAGCCGCGGUAAUACGUAGGGUGCGAGCGUUAAUCGGAAUUACUGGGCGUAAAGCGUGCGCAGGUGGUUUUGUAAGUCAGAUGUGAAAGCCCCGGGCUUCAACCUGGGAACU